UAACAAGGUAGCCGUACCGGAAGGUGUGGCUGGAUCACCUCCUUUUUAGGGAGACCUACCCACUCAUGUACCGAAAAACACCACAGUUGACAAGGUAAUGAGUUGGUCAUCCCAGGUCGGACGAAGAUUGGUACUAGAGCUUUCAGACUAUUUUUUGGUUCGGGCAGAGGGUAUGGACUCAGCCCGAAACAGAGAAUUGGGUCACACGGCGACGUCCCUGAUUAAAAUCUUGGUAGGAUAGUUCAGGGGCAAAAUAGACUCAGUUGGGACAAAAGUUAUUAAUUUGAAGACGGUUAGAGAAAUAAUUUCAGCAACUAAUUAAUAGUAGUUAGACUGCUGGGAUGAUUCCAGCCAGAACCUUGAAAACUGCAUAGAGAAGCGAAAAGUAGGUAGUCAGUGAACAGUGAACAGUAAUCAGUAAAAAAACUGGUGACUGGUAACUGAAAACUGAACAGACACCAAAAGUUAUU
rnacentral:misc_RNA from 1 species